rnacentral:tRNA from 1 species
GCCCAGGUAGCUCAGCUGGUAGAGCAGGGGAUUGAAAAUCCCCGUGUCGGCGGUUCGAUUCCGUCCCUGGGCA